AAGUAUUAUAAUUCUUUUAGAAUUUGUCUAGCAGGUUUUCUGGUUUUUGCUAGAAUACCCAC
rnacentral:snRNA from 1 species